GAAAUGCGAUACGUAGUGUGAAUUGCAGAAUUCCGUGAAUCAUCAAAUCUUUGAACGCAUAUUGCGCUCAAGGCUUCGGCCAAGAGCAUGUCUGCCUCAGCGUCGGUGUAACCCUCAUCCUCACACACACACAUGUAUGUGCUGGAUGGAACUGACUCUCCUCGUAUGUAAUAGUACGAGGUGGGUUGAAGUGCGAGGAUGCAGUUCCUAUCAAGGACCUCGAUUGGGUAGGCAAUGAACGUUGCUAACUUAUGCUUAAUCGAUGGUUUGGAAGUGUAUGCCAUAACAAAAGCAGGAUGAUGCCCGAGGCUCACGCCGACGGCUCAAACCACAACACACAAUUCGACCUGAGCUCAGGCAAGAUUACCCGCUGAACUUAA
rnacentral:misc_RNA from 1 species